AAAUAGAAUUAAAAUACUGAAACCACAGGAACAGCAUUCAUCACAACUCAGAUACAGAAACGUUCGGAAAGAGAAAGAAAAGGAUCAAUCGCCACCACUCCGCAUCCAUCUACCGCCGCCGCCGCCCCUGAUCGCCCCCAGAAUCCAACAUAUCCGUUUACGUAACAAAAUGAAAUCUUGUGCUUUUUCGUUUGAAUUUAUGUGAGGAUCCCUUCUGGAUUGGAUGUGUGUUUUUUUUCAGACCAUCAUUUAUUUUCAGCUCAAUAAUGUCUGCCGUACUUCUGUGUCUCUGAAACUAAAUAUAAUUUCGCAAAAUUUCAGUAUCUUUUUUUAAUUUUUUUUUUCUCGUAAUAAAAUUAAAAACCCCAUCUUGUGUUAGAAAACCCUAGCUGAUUCAUGCAGAGAAGUGGGAAGUUGUUGAAGCCUAAAACGCUCUCCAUUUAGUAUUUCUCUAAGAUCCCAAAAAACCCUUUUCGUUUCAAAUCGAUUGGUUGAGAGAUGCAGCGUGGGCGAGAUGAUCAAGAUCGGAGAUUGAAGGCUCUACAACCGCAAAAUCAAGCUCAGCCACAGCCACAAAAAUGCCCUCGUUGUGAUUCUCUCAACACAAAGUUUUGUUAUUACAAUAACUACAGCUUAUCUCAGCCUCGUUAUCUUUGCAAGACUUGUAGAAGGUACUGGACUCAAGGUGGUACUCUCCGUAACGUCCCCGUCGGCGGCGGCUGCCGGAAGGGUAAACGACCCAAACAAUCUUCUCACUCAUCCGACAACUCCAACUCACAACCGCUGCCAUCACUCCCGCUGCCGCAGAUAGUCCAAUCCAGUUUAACAACAACUCCGCCACCCGUAAUUUUCUCGGGUACUCCCGUCAUCACGCCGUCCUCUUUUUUCAAUCCUGUUGGAGAAUUGGGGUCAUCUUCGAGCUGGGUCAAUUCAUUUGGAUCAUCACAAGGGCAGCGUCCAAUUCAACCACCAGAAGUAAUCUACGAAAUAAUGGACCAAUCAUCAGGGAAAGCCGCCGUGAGUUCAUCUUCUCAAGCAGGGUGGUCGGAAAGUUACAUCAACAAUUAUAUUUCAAACCCAAUGGCCGCUGCCGGAGAGAACCUUGUUUGGACACCCAACAACAACAACAACGAUACCCCCACGACCACCGCAGGCAACCCCACGAACAAUAGUACUACAAUUAACCAGUGGCCUGAUUACAUGAAGGGAUUCGAUCCACCCCCAUGACAUGAUCGAUCACAAAUCAGUGGAAUUCGAUUCUUUCUUUUCAAAAAAAAAAAAAAAAAAAAACAUACCUUUGAUAUUCCAUAUAUAUAAAAAGCUUUGACUCAAAAAAUUCCCGGCGAUGAAGUUGAAGUAAAAAUGCAGGCUUUUGAAUGGGAGGCUAUGGAUAUGAAGUAGUCAUAUGAAAGCAUGCACGAGUGGAGUAGAAGAGGGCCCAAAGUCCCAUCGAAUAUGAGCAGUACAUCACAACACAACACGUUGGGCUACGACUCGGGUACCCUGCCGCUCAUCAUUUGGUCACCUGCCCGCCCUUUAGCCAGAUAAGAUAACCCUUUUUCAUUCUCUAUUGUUGACUCACCCAUUAUUCUCCCUCUGUACUCCCCACACUACCUGCUAUCAUUGCAUGGAAUUGUUCAUCGCCAUGAAUAAUGCCCCCUUUCAACCUUUUAAACCAUUCCUCCACUCCGUUCAUCAUCACAUCACCCACUUCCUUUUUACGUCUUCUUUUCAAAAUCACCCUACUACUACUACUACUCAAUUACAUUAUCAAAUUUGAUUAAUAUAUGAAUGAAUUUGA